AUUCCAACCAAUAUCUUUAAAAACUUUUAUAAAACAAAGAAGUUGACUUGCAAAAGGAUUUGUGUUGAUCAAUUAACCUCUUACCCAAGGAAAAGCAGCUGACCCAUCACCCAAGAAAGAGUGAGGAGCAAGAAGCCGAUCCCUACAAAUCCAAAGCAUCCAAAACCCGAUAUCCAAAUCCCAAAUCCUUUUCCCGUGAAAGCUCGACUUUUGAAAGCGCAAAAGCGCUUUUGGCAACAAUGGGCAUAAUGGGAAGCAGCUUCUCGUUUAUAUUGGGCUCAGUGUUCGGCAUCUACGUUGCCCAAAACUACAACGUCCCCAACAUCCAGAAGCUCUCCACCACGGGCCUCUUGAUCGCCAAGCACAUCGAAGAGACUUACCGGAAGCCUAAGAAGAGGGACGACGAGAACCAGAACCAGUAGAUCUCGCCGUACGACAUCGUUCCGAAACAGGUUCUUUUCUCGUCGUGGAGAGUGAAGCGCAUCUUUAUUUCGUUGGGAAUAUGUAUGUAUUAUUUUUCAUUUUUUAGUGUUGGGUUUUGAUGGAAAUCUGAGCCUUUUGCUUUUGGUCCCAGUAAUGGAUGCAAUUUCUGUUGUGAAUGUAGUUCUUUUCUCCGUUUGGUUGCUGAGAAAGUGUAGGAAUUGAAAGGAAAUUUUUGGGAUUUUGUUCAAUUGGCUAUUCAAUUUGGAAAUUUGUUCAAUGUGCAUAGCUGCCUUCCUAGUUCUUAAUGCUAAUGUCUGUUCAAUGAUUGGAUUCUCC
rnacentral:lncRNA from 1 species